AGAUGUGUGCUUUAAUUCUGCC
rnacentral:siRNA from 1 species